GUGACUGAAUGGUAAAGUGCUUGGCUUCUGAACUGGAGGGUCCUGGGUUCGAAUCCUGGC
rnacentral:tRNA from 1 species